rnacentral:rRNA from 1 species
GACGAACGCUGGCGGCGUGCUUAACACAUGCAAGUCGAACGGAAAGGCCCUGCUUUUGUGGGGUGCUCGAGUGGCGAACGGGUGAGUAACACGUGAGUAACCUGCCCUUGACUUUGGGAUAACUUCAGGAAACUGGGGCUAAUACCGGAUAGGAGCUCCUGCUGCAUGGUGGGGGUUGGAAAGUUUCGGCGGUUGGGGAUGGACUCGGGGCUUAUCAGCUUGUUGGUGGGGUAGUGGCUUACCAAGGCUUUGACGGGUAGCCGGCCUGAGAGGGUGACCGGCCACAUUGGGACUGGGAAGCGGCCAAGACUCAUACUGGAGGCAGCAGUGGGGAAUAUUGCACAAUGGGCGGAAGCAUGAAGCAGUAACGCCGCGUGCGGGAUGACGGCCUUCGGGUUGUAAACCGUUUUAGCCUGUGACGAAGAGUGAGUGACGGUAAUGGGUAAAGAAGCACCGGCUAACUACGUG